rnacentral:rRNA from 1 species
UACGUAGGGUGCAAGCGUUAAUCGGAAUUACUGGGCGUAAAGCGUGUGCAGGCGGCUUUGCAAGACAGAUGUGAAAUCCCCGGGCUCAACCUGGGAACUGCAUUUGUGACUGCAAAGCUAGAGUACGGCAGAGGGGGAUGGAAUUCCGCGUGUAGCAGUGAAAUGCGUAGAUAUGCGGAGGAACACCGAUGGCGAAGGCAAUCCCCUGGGCCUGUACUGACGCUCAUGCACGAAAGCGUGGGGAGCAAACAGG